UACGUAGGGUGCAAGCGUUGUCCGGAAUUAUUGGGCGUAAAGAGCUCGUAGGCGGUGUGUCGCGUCGGCCGUGAAAACCUGGGGCUCAACUCUGGGCGUGCGGUCGAUACGGGCAUCACUUGAGUUCGGCAGGGGAGACUGGAAUUCCUGGUGUAGCGGUGAAAUGCGCAGAUAUCAGGAGGAACACCGGUGGCGAAGGCGGGUCUCUGGGCAACACUGACGCUGAGGAGCGAAAGCGUGGGGAGCAAACAGG
rnacentral:rRNA from 1 species